UACAUGGGGUGCAAACGUUGCUCGGAAUUAUUGGGCGUAAAGCGCGCGUAGGCGGUUACUUAAGUCGGAUGUGAAAGCCCUCGGCUUAACUGAGGAAGUGCACCCGAAACUGAGUAGCUAGAGUACGAAAGAGGGUCGCGGAAUUCCCGGUGUAGAGGUGAAAUUCGUAGAUAUCGGGAGGAACACCAGUGGCGAAGGCGGCGACCUGGGCCAAUACUGACGCUGAGGUGCGAAAGCGUGGGGAGCAAACAGG
rnacentral:rRNA from 1 species